GCAAGGAAUUUUGUGCAAUGGGCGAAAGCCUGACACAGCGACGCCGCGUGAGGGAAGAAGACCUUCGGGUUGUAAACCUCUUUUCUCAGGGAAGAAUAAUGACGGUACCUGAGGAAUAAGUCACGGCUAACUACGUGCCAGCAGCCGCGGUAAUACGUAGGUGGCAAGCGUUAUCCGGAUUCACUGGGCGUAAAGGGAGCGUAGGUGGUCCGCUAAGUCGGAUGUGAAAUCUCCUGGCUUAACUGGGAGGAGUCAUUCGAUACUGUCGGACUUGAGGGCAGUAGAGGAAGGUGGAAUUCCCGGUGUAGUGGUGAAAUGCGUAGAUAUCGGGAGGAACACCAGUGGCGAAGGCGGCCUUCUGGGCUGUUCCUGACACUGAGGCUCGAAAGCGUGGGGAGCGAACAGGAUUAGAAACCCCAGUAGUCC
rnacentral:rRNA from 1 species